rnacentral:sRNA from 1 species
UUGACAGCUGUGGAAAUUGAACUUUUCUAUUUCCCCAAAGAACAGGGACAGCACAGGUAGUAGUAGUGCAAGCUUUCCCUGUUCCCCACAUUGCCUCACUUCUGUGCUGGUGUCUUACUGAAGUUCAUCCUUCGCCCCCUCGUUCCCCCCCAUUC